UACGUAGGCAGCGAGCGUUGUUCGGAAUCACUGGGCUUAAAGGGCGCGUAGGCGGAUUCUCAAGUCCGGGGUGAAAUCCCACAGCUCAACUGUGGAACUGCCUCGGAUACUGGGAGUCUCGAGGGUGGCAGGGGUAUGCGGAACUAUCGGUGGAGCGGUGAAAUGCGUUGAUAUCGAUAGGAACUCCGGUGGCGAAGGCGGCAUACUGGACCAGCACUGACGCUGAGGCACGAAAGCGUGGGGAGCAAACAGG
rnacentral:rRNA from 1 species